GUUUAUAUAGUUUAAUAAAAACCUUACAUUUUCAUUGUAAAAUUAAAAUUAUUUAUUUUUAUAAAUU
rnacentral:tRNA from 1 species